AGAGUUUGAUCCUGGCUCAGAAUGAACGCUGGCGGCGUGCUUAACACAUACAAGUCGAACGAGAAAGCUUUAGCUUGCUAGAGCGAGUAAAGUGGCGCACGGGUGAGUAACGCGUGGGUAAUCUGCCCUUGAAUUUGGGAUAACACUCCGAAAGGAGUGCUAAUACCGGAUAACAUCUUUUUUAUUGCGGUAAAGAAGAUCAAAGAUAGCCUCUUCUUGAAAGCUAUUGUUUGAGGAUGAGCCCGCGUACCAUUAGCUUGUUGGUGGGGUAAUGGCCUACCAAGGCGACGAUGGUUAGCUGGUCUGAGAGGAUGAUCAGCCACACUGGAACUGGAACACGGUCCAGACUCCUACGGGAGGCAGCAGUGAGGAGUUUUGCGCAAUGGGCGAAAGCCUGACGCAGCAACGCCGCGUGAGUGAUGAAGGAUUUCGGUUCGUAAAGCUCUGUCAAGUGGGAAGAACCUACAUAGUGUUAAUAGCAAUAUGUACUGACGGUACCACUGAAGGAAGCACCGGCUAACUCCGUGCCAGCAGCCGCGGUAAUACGGAGGGUGCAAGCGUUAUUCGGAUUUACUGGGCGUAAAGGGAGCGCAGGCUGCCAGAUAAGUCAGAUGUGAAAGCCCGGGGCUCAACCCCGGAAGUGCAUUUGAAACUGUUUGGCUUGAGUAUGGUAGAGGGAAGUGGAAUUCCAGGUGUAGCGGUGAAAUGCGUAGAUAUCUGGAGGAACACCGGUGGCGAAGGCGACUUCCUGGACCAAUACUGACGCUGAGGCUCGAAGGUGUGGGUAGCAAACAGGAUUAGAUACCCUGGUAGUCCACACAGUAAACGGUGAUCACUAGGUGUUGCGGGUAUUGACCCCUGCAGUGCCGCAGCUAACGCAUUAAGUGAUCCGCCUGGGGAGUACGGUCGCAAGAUUAAAA
rnacentral:rRNA from 1 species